rnacentral:tRNA from 1 species
CCCCUGGUGGCUCAGACGGUAAAGCAUCUGCCUGCAAUGCGGGAGACCUGGGUUCAAUUCCUGGGUUGGGAA